rnacentral:rRNA from 1 species
AUUGAACGCUGGCGGCAGGCUUAACACAUGCAAGUCGAACGAUGAUUAUCUAGCUUGCUAGAUAUGAUUAGUGGCGGACGGGUGAGUAACAUUUAGGAAUCUGCCUAGUAGUGGGGGAUAGCUCGGGGAAACUCGAAUUAAUACCGCAUACGACCUACGGGUGAAAGGGGGCGCAAGCUCUUGCUAUUAGAUGAGCCUAAAUCAGAUUAGCUAGUUGGUGGGGUAAAGGCCCACCAAGGCGACGAUCUGUAACUGGUCUGAGAGGAUGAUCAGUCACACCGGAACUGAGACACGGUCCGGACUCCUACGGGAGGCAGCAGUGGGGAAUAUUGGACAAUGGGGGCAACCCUGAUCCAGCCAUGCCGCGUGUGUGAAGAAGGCCUUUUGGUUGUAAAGCACUUUAAGCAGGGAGGAGAGGCUAAUGGUUAAUACCCAUUAGAUUAGACGUUACCUGCAGAAUAAGCACCGGCUAACUCUGUGCCAGCAGCCGCGGUAAUACAGAGGGUGCGAGCGUUAAUCGGAAUUACUGGGCGUAAAGCGAGUGUAGGUGGCUCAUUAAGUCACAUGUGAAAUCCCCGGGCUUAACCUGGGAACUGCAUGUGAUACUGGUGGUGCUAGAAUAUGUGAGAGGGAAGUAGAAUUCCAGGUGUAGCGGUGAAAUGCGUAGAGAUCUGGAGGAAUACCGAUGGCGAAGGCAGCUUCCUGGCAUAAUAUUGACACUGAGAUUCGAAAGCGUGGGUAGCAAACAGGAUUAGAUACCCUGGUAGGCCACGCCGUAAACGAUGUCUACUAGCCGUUGGGGUCCUUGAGACUUUAGUGGCGCAGUUAACGCGAUAAGUAGACCGCCUGGGGAGUACGGCCGCAAGGUUAAAACUCAAAUGAAUUGACGGGGGCCCGCACAAGCGGUGGAGCAUGUGGUUUAAUUCGAUGCAACGCGAAGAACCUUACCUGGUCUUGACAUAGUGAGAAUCCUGCAGAGAUGCGGGAGUGCCUUCGGGAAUUCACAUACAGGUGCUGCAUGGCUGUCGUCAGCUCGUGUCGUGAGAUGUUGGGUUAAGUCCCGCAACGAGCGCAACCCUUUUCCUUAUUUGCCAGCGGGUUAAGCCGGGAACUUUAAGGAUACUGCCAGUGACAAACUGGAGGAAGGCGGGGACGACGUCAAGUCAUCAUGGCCCUUACGACCAGGGCUACACACGUGCUACAAUGGUAGGUACAGAGGGUUGCUACACAGCGAUGUGAUGCUAAUCUCAAAAAGCCUAUCGUAGUCCGGAUUGGAGUCUGCAACUCGACUCCAUGAAGUCGGAAUCGCUAGUAAUCGCAGAUCAGAAUGCUGCGGUGAAUACGUUCCCGGGCCU